rnacentral:rRNA from 1 species
AGUGAACGCUGGCGGUAGGCCUAACACAUGCAAGUCGAACGGCAGCACAGUAAGAGCUUGCUCUUACGGGUGGCGAGUGGCGGACGGGUGAGGAAUACAUCGGAAUCUACUUUUUCGUGGGGGAUAACGUAGGGAAACUUACGCUAAUACCGCAUACGACCUACGGGUGAAAGCAGGGGAUCUUCGGACCUUGCGCGAUUGAAUGAGCCGAUGUCGGAUUAGCUAGUUGGCUGGGUAAAGGCCCACCAAGGCGACGAUCCGUAGCUGGUCUGAGAGGAUGAUCAGCCACACUGGAACUGAGACACGGUCCAGACUCCUACGGGAGGCAGCAGUGGGGAAUAUCGGACAAUGGGCGCAAGCCUGAUCCAGCCAUACCGCGUGGGUGAAGAAGGCCUUCGGGUUGUAAAGCCCUUUUGUUGGGAAAGAAAAGCAGCAGGUUAAUACCCCGCUGUUCUGACGGUACCCAAAGAAUAAGCACCGGCUAACUUCGUG